rnacentral:rRNA from 1 species
AUCCUACGGGGGGCAGCAGUGGGGGAUAUUGGACAAUGGGGGAAACCCUGAUCCAGCGAUGCCGCGUGAGGGAAGAAGGUUUUCGGAUUGUAAACCUCUGUGGAGGGGGACGAUAAUGACGGUACCCCUUUAGGAAGCCACGGCUAACUACGUGCCAGCAGCCGCGGUAAUACGGAGGAUGCGAGCGUUAUCCGGAUUUAUUGGGUUUAAAGGGUGCGCAGGCGGAAUGUCAAGUCAGCGGUAAAAUUUCGGGGCUCAACCCCGUCGUGCCGUUGAAACUGGCGUUCUUGAGUGAGCGAGAAGUA